UGAAACUUUAGUUCCCCCACCCGAUCACCAAAGUUGAGCAACAUUGAGCCUGGUCAUUACCUAGAUGGGUGACCACUUGGGAAUAGCAGGUGCUGUAAG